rnacentral:rRNA from 1 species
CAGUAGUCAUAUGCUUGUCUUAAAGAUUAAGCCAUGCAUGUCUAAGUAUAAGCAAUUAUACAGCGAAACUGCGAAUGGCUCAUUAAAUCAGUUAUCGUUUAUUUGAUAGUACCUUACUACAUGGAUAACCGUGGUAAUUCUAGAGCUAAUACAUGCUGAAAACCCCGACUUCGGAAGGGGUGUAUUUAUUAGAUUAAAAACCAAUGCCCUUCGGGGCUCACUGGUGAUUCAUGAUAACUUCUCGAAUCGCACGGCCUUGCGCCGGCGAUGGUUCAUUCAAAUUUCUGCCCUAUCAACUUUCGACGGCUGGGUCUUGGCCAGCCGUGGUGACAACGGGUAACGGAGGGUUAGGGCUCGACCCCGGAGAAAACGCCUGAGAAACGGCGUUUACAUCCAAGGAAGGCAGCAGGCGCGCAAAUUACCCAAUGCCGACACGGCGAGGUAGUGACGAGAAAUACUGAUACAGGGCUCUUUUGGGUCUUGUAAUUGGAAUGAGUACAAUUUAAAUCUCUUAACGAGGAACAAUUGGAGGGCAAGUCUGGUGCCAGCAGCCGCGGUAAUUCCAGCUCCAAUAGCGUAUAUUAAAGUUGUUGCAGUUAAAAAGCUCGUAGUUGAACCUUGGGCCUGGCUGGCCGGUCCGCCUCACCGCGUGCACUGGUCCGGCCGGGCCUUUCCCUCUGGGGAGCCCCAUGCCCUUUACUGGGCGUGGCGGGGAACCAGGACUUUUACUUUGAAAAAAUUAGAGUGUUCAAAGCAGGCCUAUGCUCGAAUACAUUAGCAUGGAAUAAUAGAAUAGGACGUGUGGUUCUAUUUUGUUGGUUUCUAGGACCGC